UUGGUGACCAGCGGAGGGAUCAUUACCGAGUUUACAACUCCCAAACCCAAUGUGAACCAUACCAAACUGUUGCCUCGGCGGGGUCACGCCCCGGGUGCGUCGCAGCCCCGGAACCAGGCGCCCGCCGGAGGGACCAACCAAACUCUUUCUGUAGUCCCCUCGCGGACGUUAUUUCUUACAGCUCUGAGCAAAAAUUCAAAAUGAAUCAAAACUUUCAACAACGGAUCUCUUGGUUCUGGCAUCGAUGAAGAACGCAGCGAAAUGCGAUAAGUAAUGUGAAUUGCAGAAUUCAGUGAAUCAUCGAAUCUUUGAACGCACAUUGCGCCCGCCAGUAUUCUGGCGGGCAUGCCUGUCCGAGCGUCAUUUCAACCCUCGAACCCCUCCGGGGGGUCGGCGUUGGGGAUCGGGAACCCCUAAGACGGGAUCCCGGCCCCGAAAUACAGUGGCGGUCUCGCCGCAGCCUCUCCUGCGCAGUAGUUUGCACAACUCGCACCGGGAGCGCGGCGCGUCCACGUCCGUAAAACACCCAACUUCUGAAAUGUUGACCUCGGAUCAGGUAGGAAUACCCGCUGAACUUAAGCAUAUCAA
rnacentral:rRNA from 1 species